rnacentral:rRNA from 1 species
UACAGAGGUCUCAAGCGUUGUUCGGAUUCAUUGGCGUAAAGGGUGUGUAGGUGGCGCCGUAAGUCGGGUGUGAAAUUUCGGAGCUUAACUCCGAAACUGCAUUCGAUACUGCGGUGCUUGAGGACUGGAGAGGAGACUGGAAUUCAUGGUGUAGCAGUGAAAUGCGUAGAGAUCAUGAGGAAGACCAGUGGCGAAGGCGGGUCUCUGGACAGUUCCUGACGCUGAGGCACGAAGGCCAGGGGAGCAAACGGG